CCCUUUUGUUUUCUCUGAUUUUUCUGGUUUCUCUUCCGGGGUUUUUACAGGUCCAUAUUUUCUACAAUAAUUGAUCAAAUCCUCUGCAACUUCACCCCAUGUCCAAAUUUUAUGAUUACUGCCAGGUGAACUGGCUUGUGAAUUUACAGCUUGGAAUGGAGAAUAGGAUGGAGUAAAGCCAGGAUCAGUAGAUCCAGUACGAUCAGUGGGGUUACCAAGAAAUCUAUCUAGUCUUUCUGCAGGGCUUAAUGUCAUGAUAGUUUUCUGUAAGGCUAUGGCAGUAGGUUUGGGUGUUUCUGGAAGCCCACGAAUUAAAGGAGUCAUUAGUUCAGGCUUCACAGGUAAUUGCAUUGGGGAUUCAAAGCCAGGAAUUAAUUUCUUUAUGUGAAUCAUUUGCAGACAAGCAGCUUUGUGUACACUUUCUAGGAGUUAGUCGGGGGUGCUAAUUAUAGCUAUAGGAUCUCCCCUUUCCAAGGGGCUCAUUCCCCCAGCCCAAAAAGCUGCACGCUGUGUCAGGGACCAUGAGUCACGUUUAUCUCCUGUUGUUAAGAAGACACCAUGUCCCCAGUACCCACUGGCUUCUUGUUCAGUUAGUUUAAUUUAAUCACCACCAGUGAGGGACACCCGGAAAACAUAUUCUGUUUCUGAUUCGUAUGGGAGGCGUCCGUAUUCUCUUUUAAGCUUAGCCAAUUUGGUGGCAGUGUAUCGUAUGUGUUUGGUUGUGAUGUGGGGGUCAAGAUCAUCAUCACUGUGAUAGUUAUAUUCUGUUUUAAUUAAGGGUCUUAAGUGAGAGCAGCGAUGUUACCCACAAUUAUUUACUGCCUCAAGUUCUUUGUGAGGAUAAAUUUGGUUAAUGUGAGGAGUUUCCUUUCCCUCAGGAUUUAUAGAGGAAUCAGCAUUAGGUGAUUUGUUAACAUGUUCCUCUUUUAAGGCAGCUCUUAAUGCAUAGUUCUCAUUUCUCAAUGAAUGUUUUUCAUUCCUUUCUUCAUGUAAUUGUUUUUGUAAAAUUUCAACCAAAUUUUGAAGGGAGUCUAUUAUUGUUUCUUGCUCACCUCUUCGCUGGAAGCGAGUUUCUACAGCUGGUGUAAGACAAG
rnacentral:lncRNA from 1 species